ACGCUCGACACCUACGGGAGGCAGCAGUUGGGAAUAUUGGACAAUGGAGGGAAACUCUGAUCCAGUGACGCCGCGUGAAGGAAGAAGGUCUUCGGAUUGUAAACUUAUUUUGUCAGGGAAGAAAAAAUGACUGUACCUGAAGAAAAAGCACCGGCUAACUACGUGUCAGCAGCCGCGGUAAUCUGAGCGGGCUGGCAAGGC
rnacentral:rRNA from 1 species